rnacentral:rRNA from 1 species
AUGGCUCAGGAUGAACGCUAGCGGCAGGCCUAAUACAUGCAAGUCGGACGGGAUUGGGGAGCUUGCUCCCCAUGAGAGUGGCGCACGGGUGCGUAACACGUAUGUAACCUACCCAUAUCAGGGGGAUAGCCUCUCGAAAGAGAGAUUAAGCCCGCAUAACAUUAACUUAUGGCAUCAUAGGAUAAUCAAAUAUUUAUAGGAUAUGGAUGGGCAUGCGGAACAUUAGCUAGUUGGUAAGGUAACGGCUUACCAAGGCUACGAUGUUUAGGGGAUCUGAGAGGAUGACCCCCCACACUGGUACUGAGACACGGACCAGACUCCUACGGGAGGCAGCAGUAAGGAAUAUUGGUCAAUGGACGGAAGUCUGAACCAGCCAUGCCGCGUGCAGGAAGACGGCCCUACGGGUUGUAAACUGCUUUUGCAGGGGAAUAAACCUUCGUAUGUAUACGAAGCUGAAUGU